AGAGGCAAAUCUUACAAACUUACUGCUAAGGAUGGACCUCAUAAACAUCCUGAACUUCCUAAGCAGUUUCAUGGAUACCAGCUUCUGUGGAAUAGGAAAAACUCUUGACUUCUUUUUGAAGAUGUGGAAAUGAAGCACAGGAUAGUUAUGAGAAUUGCCCAAGGUUAUACCACAAAAUUCAACAGAAGAGAAGCCUGAAUCUAAGUUUGUGAAGUCUCUAACUGUUCCACUGGUUUUUUCCUUUUUUUAAAUAAUAAAAAUGAAUUUUUAACAAA